rnacentral:snoRNA from 1 species
UGAGGAUGAUUACUUGAUGACGAGUCCGACUCUCGUGGUGCACGAGUUUCUCGUAUGCCCGUGCUUGACGACACACUUUUUAUUAUACCAUUCAUGCUUUCCUGAAA